rnacentral:snRNA from 1 species
AGCUUUGCGCAGUGGCAGUAUCGUAGCCAAUGAGGUUUAUCUGAGGCGCGAUUAUUGCUAAUUGAAAGUUAACACAGACUUCU